GUAGCCUUAAACCUCAUCGGAUGAGGGCAAGACUCCAAAUCUUGUGGCUCGGGGUCCGACUCCUCACCGGCCUGCUACUUA
rnacentral:tRNA from 1 species